rnacentral:rRNA from 1 species
UACAGGGGGUGCAAACGUUGCUCGGAAUCAUUGGGCGUAAAGCGCACGUAGGCGGUUCGUUAUGUCGGAUGUGAAAGCCCUUGGCUUAACCGAGGAAGUGCAUCCGAAACUGGCGAGCUAGAGUACGAAAGAGGAUCGCGGAAUUCCCGGUGUAGAGGUGAAAUUCGUAGAUAUCGGGAGGAACACCGACGGCGCAGGCAGCGUCCUGGCCGCUUGCUGACACUGAGGCACGAAAGCUGGGGGAGCAAACAGG